rnacentral:rRNA from 1 species
GAUGAACGCUGGCGGCGUGCCUAAUACAUGCAAGUCGAGCGAAUGGAUUAAGAGCUUGCUCUUAUGAAGUUAGCGGCGGACGGGUGAGUAACACGUGGGUAACCUGCCCAUAAGACUGGGAUAACUCCGGGAAACCGGGGCUAAUACCGGAUAACAUUUUGAACCGCAUGGUUCGAAAUCGAAAGGCGGCUUCGGCUGUCACUUUUGGAUGGACCCGCGUCGCAUUAGCUAGUUGGUGAGGUAACGGCUCACCGAGGCAACGAUGCGUAGCCGACCUGAGAGGGUGAUCGGCCACACUGGGACUGAGACACGUCCCAGACUCCUACGGGAGGCAGCAGUAGGGAAUCUUCCGCAAUGGACGAAAGUCUGACGGAGCAACGCCGCGUGAGUGAUGAAGGCUUUCGGGUCGUAAAACUCUGUUGUUAGGGAAGAACAAGUGCUAGUUGAAUAAGCUGGCACCUUGACGGUACCUAACCAGAAAGCCACGGCUAACUACAUGCCAGCAGCCGCCGUAA